CAGGCUUAACACAUGCAAGUCGAGGGGCAGCAUUUCAGUUUGCUUGCAAACUGGAGAUGGCGACCGGCGCACGGGUGAGUAACACGUAUCCAACCUGCCGAUAACUCGGGGAUAGCCUUUCGAAAGAAAGAUUAAUACCCGAUGGUAUAAUCAGACCGCAUGGUCUUGUUAUUAAAGAAUUUCGGUUAUCGAUGGGGAUGCGUUCCAUUAGGCAGUUGGUGAGGUAACGGCUCACCAAACCUUCGAUGGAUAGGGGUUCUGAGAGGAAGGUCCCCCACAUUGGAACUGAGACACGGUCCAAACUCCUACGGGAGGCAGCAGUGAGGAAUAUUGGUCAAUGGGCGCAGGCCUGAACCAGCCAAGUAGCGUGAAGGAUGACUGCCCUAUGGGUUGUAAACUUCUUUUAUAUGGGAAUAAAGUUUUCCACGUGUGGAAUUUUGUAUGUACCAUAUGAAUAAGGAUCGGCUAACUCCGUGCCAGCAGCCGCGGUAAUACGGAGGAUCCGAGCGUUAUCCGGAUUUAUUGGGUUUAAAGGGAGCGUAGGUGGACAGUUAAGUCAGUUGUGAAAGUUUGCGGCUCAACCGUAAAAUUGCAGUUGAUACUGGCUGUCUUGAGUACAGUAGAGGUGGGCGGAAUUCGUGGUGUAGCGGUGAAAUGCUUAGAUAUCACGAAGAACUCCGAUUGCGAAGGCAGCUCGCUGGACUGCAACUGACACUGAUGCUCGAAAGUGUGGGUAUCAAACAGGAUUAGAUACCCUGGUAGUCCACACAGUAAACGAUGAAUACUCGCUGUUUGCGAUAUACAGUAAGCGGCCAAGCGAAAGCAUUAAGUAUUCCACCUGGGGAGUACGCCGGCAACGGUGAAACUCAAAGGAAUUGACGGGGGCCCGCACAAGCGGAGGAACAUGUGGUUUAAUUCGAUGAUACGCGAGGAACCUUACCCGGGCUUAAAUUGCAUUUGAAUAAUCUGGAAACAGGUUAGCCGCAAGGCAAAUGUGAAGGUGCUGCAUGGUUGUCGUCAGCUCGUGCCGUGAGGUGUCGGCUUAAGUGCCAUAACGAGCGCAACCCUUAUCUUUAGUUACUAACAGGUCAUGCUGAGGACUCUAGAGAGACUGCCGUCGUAAGAUGUGAGGAAGGUGGGGAUGACGUCAAAUCAGCACGGCCCUUACGUCCGGGGCUACACACGUGUUACAAUGGGGGGUACAGAAGGCAGCUACCUGGUGACAGGAUGCUAAUCCCAAAAGCCUCUCUCAGUUCGGAUCGAAGUCUGCAACCCGACUUCGUGAAGCUGGAUUCGCUAGUAAUCGCGCAUCAGCCAUGGCGCGGUGAAUACGUUCCCGGGCCUUGUACACACCGCCCGUCAAGCCAUGAAAGCCGGGGGUACCUGAAGUACGUAACCGCAAGGAGCGUCCUAGGGUAAAACUGGUAAUUGGGGCUAAG
rnacentral:rRNA from 1 species